rnacentral:lncRNA from 1 species
GCUUCUGGGGAAAAGGAAGGGGAGUGCUCACUGAGUUCAGUUACUGUUCACUCAACUUUUCUUCUAUGAUAUGAAUGUUUUUGGCCCCUGAAGUUCAUAGUUUGAAACCCUAAUAUCUGAGGUGAUGGUAAUGGUACAGCUUUGGGCACUCAGGAGUAAUAUUCAGUAUGGCCUUAUAAAAGAGCCUCCAGGCUGGAGAAAUGGCUCAGCAGUUAAGAACACUGACUGUUCUUCCAGAGGUCCUGAGUUCAAUCCCCAGCAACUACGUGGUGGCUCACAACCAUCUGUAAUGAGAUCUGAUGCCCUCUUCUGGUGUGUCUGAAGACAGCAACAAUGUACUCAUAAAACAAAUAAAUAAAUCAUUUAAAAAAGAGAGAGACUCUAGUCAGUCAUGGUGUGGCUCACACCUUUAAUCCCUGCCCUCAGAAGACAGAAGCAGGAAGCUCUGUGAGUCUGAGACCAGCCUGCUCUAUAUGGCCAGUCCCAAGCCAUCUAGGGCUACAAAUGGAGAUCCAGUCUCAAAAUAACUGAGCUGCCUUGUCCCACCGACUGAGAGCACACCAGUCUCUGAGAAGGCAGAUCACUCCAGAUAAUGAGGCCACCAGUAUGCUGGCCUUGGAUGUCCCCACCUGCACAAGAGUAGGGAAUGCACUAUGUUGUCUAUAAGUUACUGGUCUCUGGUGUUAGUCAGAGCAUCCAUGAUAGGCAAGAUUGCAUUGGUUCCUUCUCUUGUCACUGUAAUACCUAACAAAGCACCAGGAGGAAGGGUUUAUUUUGGCCUUGGUAAUGGGGAAGGCAUGGCAGCAAGUGGUUCCACGGCAGCAGGAGUAUGCACUGUGCUGAUACUACUAAAGAAAUCUCGUAUUUCCAUGGAACAGGAAGCGUUACAGGAAGUUGUGCUAGGCUUGCACAGGUGACCAACUUUCUCUAUAAAGGCUUCACCUCUUAAAGGUUCUACAACACCCCAAAACAGUGCCACCAUAAACACAGGAGCCUACGGGGGACAUUUCACAUCCAAACCAUGGCGUCACCCUGGAAACCAGCUGGUCUCUCCUCUGUAAAGCACAGUUUGACUCCUCUGGCAGUAGUCCUCAUGACCUCCUGACGGCCUUUAUUUAUGAGGUAGCCCUGAACAGUGAACUGCUGGGAGCUAUGUUGGUAUUGAUCAUGCCUACUCAAUAAAACAUUUGCCAGGUUCAUAAGAACGUACUGGAGUGUAUCACUCCACAGUGGGACUUUCCUCUGUCCCUGUCACCAGGUGUCACCCUCUUUGGAAGAAGCUCUUGGCGUCAGCGUUACAGGUGGUUUACUGGGACUUUUGCCCUCAACUCGGAUCGUCAGAAUUUACUCUUACGGAAGGUGGUUCCUUCACAUUGCUCUUAGGAUAGGAUGCUGUUUACAUGGAAGAAAUAUUGUAAAAUUAGAAGGUACUACAAUACAAGCUCCUGCUGGUUCAAAGCAGGAUUAAAUGAGCUGAUGAUGUAUGUGGAGAUGUCUGGGGUGUGAUUUGCAAAUAGCAUUGUGUAGAAUAAUGGAGACCUAAAUAAAGACUUAGUUCUCACCUAAUCGCACGUCUGCCAUCAUAGGUACACGAAUUUGUUUUCUUUUCUGUAAAUAAGCACAGUGCUAAUUUCUGCCUGACAGAGGGCAUUGAAUGCUGCCUGACAUCUCUGGACUGGUGAAUGCCGCCAGCUCUUAGGAGGUCCUUGGCUCUGUCAAACACUAGCUCAGUUCUCUCACAAAGUUAACCAGUGAUUUCCUGGCUCCAAAUAUACCAUUGUGCUCACUGAUUUGAGGACCGCUGCUCUGAGUGCAGCAUCGGCAAGAGCCAGGCUUCUCGAAUGGUAUUUAAUCUGAGAUUGUCCAACAAAAGAAGCUAUUGAUGCACCAUUCACAGUGACUUAAACUUAUAUAAAGAAUCAUUGAUCCAAAACAGUCACUGUGUGUGUGAAAAUGUAUGUUUGCUGGUUUCCAUGGAUACCACCCAGCUGGCUGCUCAGUGAUCACUCACUAGCCAUAAUUAUACACUGGCAUUGCCUGGGAGCCUUCAGCACUGUCUCCAUAACAACAUCUCCUUGUGGAGUAGCAUGACCGACACCCUGAUCUGUGUUUUUCACAUAGGAGUUUCUGUUCAGAGCUGGACAAAUGCUGCUGGUAAACUGGCUGAUUUGUUCUUAGGAAAGCUUUGAUGUGCAUAGGAUGCUUUCUGUGUUCUGACUUCCAAUCUCAGGUUUUUACAAGUGAAGGCCACACCCCAGUUCCUUUUUCUCUUUUCCAUGUGGCAUGCUGACAUGUCUCUCUGACCUGCUGUCAAGAUAACAAAGGAGUCUUCACUAUGUCAGUGGACUAGAUAGAGUUAGUUUCUUCAAAAGGUACUUUUCUCUGUGUAUGAGUGUUUCCCUAUGUGUAUGUACAUGCAUCACAUGUAUGCCUGGUACUUGCUGAAGCCAGAGGAGGAUCCUGUGAAACUGGAGUUACAGAUGGUUGUGAGCCUCUAUGUGGGUGCUAGCAAUCAAACCUGGGUCUUCUGUAAGAACAAGUGUCCAUAACUACUGAUCCGUCUCUACAGCCCCCAAACUAAAAACAAAAAAAACAAAC